GUGAAGCCUAAGAAUCUAAUAUAUGUACAAGCUAUUAACGAUGUGCAAAUACCUUUUAUCCUUAUGUAAUUAAGAAGAAACUUUCCAUGUUGCAUCAAACAAUGAUCCUAUCCACAAGAUUUCAGUUUUCGUAUGUGCACAGUUAUCCUUCUCCAUAGGCUCUCUUUAUUUUGUAGAUCACUUAGGUUGGAGCACCAUGUGCCCAAAGGCCCACCUGCUAAAGCUGC
rnacentral:lncRNA from 1 species